AUCUUUCUACACACCAAUCUUCUUCAGAAAGCAACAAACACCUUGAUGUUGUCUUGUCUUCUAGCAAGCUGUGGUCACAUCUUGAGUCCAUGUGCUUGUUCAUUUGUACUUUGACACUCACUCGUGAAUGACCAAUCGCCUAGAAAAGGUUUGGCUGAUCAUAGCGCGUGUCACCGCCGCGUUCGUGCGGUGACUAGGUGUCCGACAUGCCCUUGUCCGUGCUCUGGCAGUUGGCCCCUCCCCAUCGUCUGUUUUUUCGAGCCAUCGACACCUAAUCAUGUCUAGCAGCUCCGUCUUGGUCUCGCCUUGCGCUGGAACCCUCUCCCCCUCUCAGGUCACAUCCUACGCGAUGCUCUAGCCGCGCCCGUGACCUGGCCGCCCUGCCUACUCCAUGGAUAAUUGCCCAAGGUCCGCCAGAGCCUUCCCGAGCUCUACCUGGCGCUAUUUAUAGCGUGCCAUAGCUCUCCCACCACUCUGCAGCCGUUCCCCAAGCUCCUGGAGCGCCCCUUUUCCCCAAUAGCCAAGCCGUCCGCCAUCGAUCAACGUGGUCAAAUCCUCCCAGUAGCCCUCCCCCUCGUUUCUUCUACGUGUGCGGAGACCCCCUGGACCCCGCAGAGCUACCAUCGCCCUCCAUUCCUCCAAGGAGGCCCUGCCAGCGCCGCUCGCCAGGAGACCUCCGUCCACCUCGGCCCCCUUAGUGGCUACGACACUGUAGGUCGCCGGAGUCGCUCCCUUGGCUACCAUCAGUCGUGGAGAGGAGCUGCGGUGCCGCCACGCACGUUGGCGGCCCUUUGGAGUAGUAAGGUGACAGGUGCGCCGGUGCCCGAGCCCCUUUGACCCCAGCGAGCGGAAGAAGACAAUCGAAGGAGAGAGAAGUGAGAAGGCCCGCGCGCCAGCCGCAGGUCCGCUUACCGGACUGGCCCGUUGCCGUAAGUGAAGGCAUUUUUGCACGAGCGCGUAUUUCCGUGGUCAAGGCUUUUUCUUGCUUCAGCCUCGAACGCGAGUGUGUUUUCUCUAACUUAAAGUGUAUUUCAAGAAAGGCGUUUUCAACCCAGGUCCGUUGGCCGAAGUGGUUAAAUAGUGGGUGUUCACCCGUUAGCAACAAAAAAACACAAUUUUUUAUUUGUUUUUCUCCUAACAAACAAACCACCAUAUCUUUUUAAUAGUAACUCCGAUUGAGGUAAUUCCAAAGCCCACAUUUUCGUCUCAUCAAGUUCGUUCCUUUGGUACUAUUUUCACUAUAUUGUCACAUACUAAAAAUGACAAUUUUUCCCUUGCCCUUGUUAAGCCCCCUUUGCGAGAGAUAAUUUUCUUGCGAAUCGUUCCGCGAGUUCCUUGCACUUCCUUCCGGUGAAUCCUUUAUCCCCGGGCAAGCCACGGCAUCCACUUGUAUUGUGAUCUUGUAGUAACCAUUGUUUUCUACUUCAAUAUUUAACAACUGUUUGCUCUACUAGUAUUUCUGUAUGCUUGUGGAAUCGAUCAUCUUCAUGCUUUGUGCUUGUGCACCCUGUUAGUUCCGUGGCUACUUGGUAGUAUUAUUAUCAUAUCUCAUGCUUGUUCUUAUUACAUGCUCGUGAUAGUAGUGUUCCUUCGAUGCACGAAUAUCGCCAGUUAUGAAAAGCACUUGUGAUCUGCAUGAUCAUUACUCUAUCAUGUUCAUGUGCAUCCACUAGACUAAGUUCGUUAUUAUUGUCGAUGCUAAUGCUUCACAUGUGAAAUUGUUAUACUUCACAUACAUGUUCAUUCUUAUGUCAUGCUCAUAUGAAUUGUCUAUUCAUCCUGUUAUUUUUAUUAUGACUUAGCUCAUUACUUUACAAGUUCAACCGGAUAUUAACUGAACAUGAACAAAUGUUGGCUGAGUCAUAGUGCCAUCGAGUCGAGCUGACCAGUGCAUCCACACUUGCCUGUAUGGGAAGGCCUUAAUGCAGUCGAUUGGCAUGCCUCUCAUUGGUUCCUCCAACUAGGGAAGGUUAUGUGCGCGCUACCCUGAUGAGUUUGCAGGUCAUGCCAUGAUUGAUUGCCUGACGAGUUGGUGAUCAAGGAUAAGCAUUCCAGCCAGAGUCCUUGUAGAGUUGAUUUCACCAGUGUCGUCGUUGUUCCCUUGCUAGAAGUUAUUCCGUUGCUUUGAUUUGUUUUUCUAUAAGCAUAGAGCUACCUAAGAAGGCAUAGUGUUGCCAUGCCGAUGUAAUUCAUUGUGAUAUCGGAACCUUGUAUUUCUGUCA